GGCCGAUGACGAAAACAGGUGUUCCGAGCUAGUCUGGCGGCUGGUGGUGACGAACCCUAUGAGUGCCGAGGCC
rnacentral:snoRNA from 1 species